rnacentral:rRNA from 1 species
UACGUAGGGGGCAAGCGUUGUCCGGAAUUAUUGGGCGUAAAGAGCGCGUAGGCGGUCCGGUAAGUCGGUUGUGAAAGUCGGGGGCUCAACCCUCGGAUGCCGAUCGAUACUGUCGGGCCAGAGUCCGGAAGAGGCGAGUGGAAUUCCUGGUGUAGCGGUGAAAUGCGCAGAUAUCAGGAGGAACACCGGUGGCGAAGGCGGGUCUCUGGGCAACAACUGACGCUGAGGAGCGAAAGCGUGGGGAGCAAACAGG